AAAGAGGAAGACAGGAAGUAAAAAAGGAAAAAGAAGUUCGGUGAACAAGCAAAGAAAGUACUUAGGUUACGGAUCACUCCAAGUACAAAUGAGUCGCUCCAUCGAACGAAGCAAAAAGCGAAAGUUUAUACACGAUGUUUGGGCGCCUUUGACGAACAUUCGUCUAAACGGAGACGACACGUACGAUCCCAGAAGAGGUACUGCGUGUAGAUCAAAGCCAGUGAAUUUUCGAUGCACCGACCGAGGGUGCAGGGGCAUUCUGAAAAGGGGGUGCACACCAUAUCGACAGGGCGUGGUCGAAAUCUGUCACACUAGCCGCGAACAAACCUGAUGCCUUGUCAGCAAUAGUAUAGAAUUUCUUCCGAUUACUACGCUUUUCUCCCAGUGUAAAUUCGAAAUUUCUCGAACGAUCGUCGAACACGGUGUAACGAAAGAGAAACUUGUAACGAGGUUCCUAGUAAUUAAUUUUAGAAGAGAUUACGCUAUCGUAGCAGUGGUAGUUUAUUCGUUUCAACUCAUUAGCCCAGAAAGUGGACUUGGUUACAACCGUCGAGAUUAUUCUAUUGUUUAAUCAAAUACGCUACAAAUGUUAGUAUUUAAAUAUCAAUCAGCUCUCAUCCAGCGAUGAACAUAUUUUCGAUGCAAUAAACGACGUAGACUUUUAAAACGAACAUAUUUACGAACUCGUGUUUAUGCGUCAUAUGAGAAAAUGAGUGGGUGGUUCUCCCAUAUGGGCAACGGAUGAUUAUCGCUUGAAUCGAGACACAAUUUUUAUCAACGAUCGAUGAUACAUUAUAACGUCAAAAGAAUGUCGUAUUCUUGAACUGUGACAUUUUUUACUCUCUUUUUUAAUCCCAAUUCUUCUUUCAUUUAAGAUACGAUAGAAUUCCAAUUUUGGAAUGUUAAGCGUUUCUCUUUAAUACGGGCACUCAUACUAAUUAAUAAUUAAUCAUAGCAUUGCGUUAAACUAGCUCGUGAAAUAUGAACACCCACUAAAAUCGCAUAAAUAUGUGGACGUUUCAGUUUGGAUUAUUAGUCUUUCUUUUUUUUUUUUUUUUUUUUGGUCAAAAACAAGUAAGUGGUCAU